AAAAAAAGGCAUUUUAUUAGGACUGUUUUGCAAUAAGAAAAAGAACAAACGAGAGAUAAGCUCAUAAGGAACUUACAAUUGAAAGAAUAUGAAUUUAAUUCAACUGGAUAUACCACAACUAUUCGAUACAAUAAUUGCACAUACAAUGGGAAAAUUGGGAAAACAAAACUUGCAUAUACCAAUACUGACUAAAUCAUCGACGCCUCUGCCGGGAGAAACUUGGGGAUCCCAUUGCUUGUGUGCCUCUAUAGUUUUUGCUGGGUGAAUCCAUGGAACCCCGGAAGCCAUAAGCAGCUUUCGCUGGUUCUGGCACUGAAUCCAAGGGAAUUGACUCGAUGAAGCAUGCUGUAUUGAUUCUUGUUCUCUCAAGUUCUGCUUGAAGCAAUUCAGAGCUACACUGCUGAGCAAGAGCAAUCAGGUCAUCUGGAGAUGCAGUCAUUCCUUGUUGCCUGUCAUCAAGUGCAUCUUCACUCCCACGAGUUGAACGCCGUUGAUGCCCUGGAUUUUCAACAGCUUCAGCAACAUUCUCGGUUGCUUUCUCUAACAGCACACCUUGCAAGGACUUGAGUGACUCUCUUGCAUCAGGUGUAAAAUAUGGAUUCAAUAUGGUCUCAAAAUAUUCAAGCUCGAGCAUGAGCUGACAGAAAGCAUUUGCAUCGAGUGACAUAAGAUCUUUGCUUUUGUUUUCAUAGAAAAGGCUGAGAAAGGUAUCAAUUAGACCUUCCACAAGAAUGCCAAGUGUCUUAUCCAACAGAGGCUUAGCACCAGCAAAGACCUCUGAGUGCACAGCUACUAGAGUGUGCAAUAAUUCCACAGCUGCAUCACGCACACCCUGCAAAAAGUUAUCAUUUUUUAGUACAUCCAGUUUAAAAUAUGUUUGGUAUAGUAUUUGUUGAAAGAAUGAUAAAGAAAAUAAUCAAUUAUGAAAUCAUUAGAUGUCACUUUGACUGCAGGUGCAGCUCCCCAUUGAACACCAGAGUUCAGCAAAUAGUUCAUAGCAGCUGUUCUGAUCAUAUUAGCCUGUCAGGAAGACGAAAUUUCUUAUAUCAUAAUCCCAUAAUGAAUCAAUAGUCAUCAAAAGUCUACAGUUUAUCAUUGUCUUUCACCAGCCUGACUCACAAAAGAAGUAGAGCAUGAAAGAUUUUGUGCCCCCCUGUUGAUUGAUAUGAAAAAUAUAUAAAGUCAACAAGAAAUUACACAUUUGACACCUAUGGUUGAGAAGCUGCAGACUUGCCGAAAAGAUAACCAGCUCAUUUGACUUUCUUGCUGAAGCCAUAACAGAGCCAUUUCUAAAUUAAUGAGCCAACUUCUGCUGCCUGAUAUUUUUAUAUUUAUUACUUACAGAACAUAAUUUUGGUUCUCACUUCUUAGUAGCAUAUGGAGCCUAUUUCUAUUGCAGAUGCUUAUUUCAGAAAAAAGAAAACAAUGAGAUAGUAAAUUUAAUAAAUGGUUUUUGACAGGAAAGGUCCAUUCCUUCAAGAACAAUUCUAUGCAUGCAUAUCAACCCAGAGUAUUUAGAUUUUCCUAAAUUGGACUAUACUAGCAACCUCAUAGUAUCUCUAGCAAAAGGACUGAAGGAACCUCACCCUAAAUUGGCCACAUACAACUCUCCAUGUCUAUGCAUUUGAACAAUUAAAUAUCAAAAUUAAAGAAACAUGUCAUGCUAUACCUUUGCAAAAGUAUACUGUUGAAGGACCUUUUCUUCAAGACCAGAGAAGGACAUCACUAGAUCUUGUAUAUCACUGUCAUCUUCUUUUUCCCUGCAGUUACAGAGACAACAUAGCACAUUCAUAAUAGUUAUCCGCAGGCAGAAUAUACAAACAUAAAUGCAUGUCUAAACACACACAGGUCCGCUAGGAAGAUAACAAAAAUGUGAAAAAGAAUAACCAUGAUCCAGUUGCCAUAUCUGAAGCAUAAUCUUGAGUGCCAAUACAACCAAUCACAAGGCGUAAUUCUUUUUCCCAAUAUUUAUAGUUGAUCCACAGUAUGCACACUUGCACAUUUAUGCUAAAUGUACAAUGAAUGGUAAAUCAUAUCAAUCCCUAGCUGGUCUUGAGUCAUGUGUCAUGACUAAUGACUCUCAGGCCAAUUUUCGAACAUUUAAAAAGCUUGGAUAGGUUAGUUAUGCGAAAGUAAUAAUGACCCAAGCACGUUCCCUCAGCUUGGGCCAGAAAGCAGGUUAUCCAAUCAGCAUCCUACAAAACCGACCAUAUGUUUCUCAUAUACGACCCAUUUCAAAGGCUAAAGAAUGCAAUGGCUGUUUUGAUACUUCUUCCCUCCAUGGAAGAGGGGCAAAGAGUUGACUACAUACCUAGAUUGCUGCCAAAUAUUUUUAUACUUGUUGUACAACUCAUAAGAAAGUUCGUCUUUGCAGUAUCCAAUAUUACUUAACACUAUCAGCAAUUGUUGAUGAGGAUUUACAACACUUCCAAGGAGAUCAGAUGAUACUUUGUCUUCACUUUCAUGAGUAUAUCCAUUCUGCAAAUGCAGACUCUCUUUGCUUGAUUUGUUUUUGGCAAGCAUACUCCCAAUUUGCUCCAAAUGACCUGCAAAAUCUAGGAAACAGUUUAAGAAGGCAAGUCUAACUGAUUCUUGAAUUUCUUGAAGUUGUGAAGACAUCUCUUCUGAUUUUCUUGCUUCACACCUCAAGGACUGAAUCAUCCUGGAAAAGAAAUGUAACAGGGCAAUAUAUUGCAGUUCUUGUAUCCUCUUUUUGGAUCAAAGAACAAUUAAUUAAAAGGAGAAAUAAUGAAAUCACUACAAAAAUGAGGAUCAGAUAUCCUUUUCCAAGUGAAACAAGAGAUUAAAAUAAAUUCAAAGCAGCAAAGGCCUCCAAUCAUGCAGGUUGGCACCAAGUUAAAUGUUCAGAAGAAGAAAUCCUCAACAAUGCCAAAGAAACAAUAUUAUCAUGCAGUAACUGUAAAACCUGAUCCCCAAAAAAUGUCCCAGCCAAAUACAUCAUCACCACAACCAAAAGCUAUCCAUUUGGGACAAGGGGAAAAAAAGAGGGGAAUGGGACAGUCCCAGCCACGGCUAGUUUCUGUCCAUGGAGGGAAGAGACCUGAACCACUGCAGGAGGCUGGUUCCCACGGUCUUGGCUUCAGUUCUAUCCGGGUUGAGGCAACCCAACAGUUGAUUUUUUUUUUCAAAUUUUCUAUCUUUUUUUUAAGGUUCAAAACAGAACUUUUGGGCAGAACCGCCAGUUCUGGUUCAAGGGAAGGAAGGACCAGGACCAGCCCUCCUCCAAGACAGUUCCAGUCUGGUUCGGGCACACAUAAAGUUGACUGGUUUCAGUCCUGGAUUUGAUCAGGCCAGUUCCGAGCCCAACCCAGAAUGUAGUUGUGUCUAGAUUGGAAGAAGGAAAGAAGGGAAGAGCUGAAGGGGAUAUGCAGUUACAGAAACCUGCAAAGCUAAUUCAAUAAUAUUGCAUCAUAAAGAUAAUUGUUAAAAAAUAAUGAGGUUCUAGCAUUCAAACUACACAAACAUUGUCCAACCAUUUCAAAAUUUUAUUUUUUAGAAAUAUGCUUUUGCGGGUUUUAAAUGGUCCACUUUUGACAAGCAAUUAUGCUAUGCAAAGGGUUUCUCUUUUCCUUCUUUUAACAUGCAAGAAAACCAAUAGAAAAAUUUAAAUUAGGAAACGCUAAAGAAUAUACAUGCAGUAGUGACUCUCAUCCUCAUAUUGAGGUCAUGAGGAAAGUCUUGCAGCCCAAAAAUCAUAAAUCAGUUCACUAACCUUGGACUUGUCCAAACAUUAAUUAUAAUGUUCAUUCACAAUGUUCAUAAUAGAAAGCUCUAGUAACUUACAAAUUGAUUUGAUCCAUCACUGAGGCUAUAAUUGAGCGGAAUGCUAGAGGUAAGAAAGAGAUUGUAUAUGGAGAUUUAUUCCUUUCAAGAAUAGAUACAGGAACCCAUGUUUCCUCGUUUGAUAUCUCUUCUGUUGUUGCUCGCAUCCAAGAGCAAAGCCUAAGUAUAUAAAUCUUAGUAAUCUCUGCCUGAAGAGCUCGGAGUGCCAUGACAGCAGUAGGUGGAGCUGAAUCUUUUGCUUCAAAAGCUUGGCAGGCUUUGGAUAUUUCCUUUGUGGCAUCACUCAUAUAAGACCGAAGGAUAUUUGAUUCUUCAAGAUCACGAAAGGUGUUGUGAACCUUCACUUCAUAUGCAGACAUAGUACCGCGAAUCAUUCCAGCAACUUCAUCAAUAGAAUGUGUCGAGUACCUACCAUCCCCAACUUUUUCCUCGGCUUUAUUUGCUUGGCAAAUUUCCCACUGAAAACAGAAAGUGCAACUUUCCAGAAGGCCGGCAUAUGAUGGAUCAGUACAGCAGUCAACCUUCGAAUAUACUUUCCUCUAAGAGUGUCAACUUCUUCACUGGUCAAUUCUAUUGCUUGUGAGUCUACUCGCAGAGGAAUGUUGUUGUCAACAUAGAUUGAUUUAGAUUUUGCUGAAUUUGACUCCAUCUUGCAUCAGAGAGAGCUCUUGCACGCAUCUCAAUAAGCAAAGUUUCCAUUCUAGCUUCAUGAUCUAAAGUGCAUUUUUCAAGCAAACCUUGAAUUCUAUUAUUCUGCACAUUUAAAUAAUGCCAUACAGGAUCCGAUUCAGGUUCCAGCUCCAUCAACAGCCUCACGGUAUUCUCAAGAUUUGUAAGGUCUAUUUGUGGAUCUUCCAUUAAUUUGUAAAGUGUAUGCUUAAAUUCAUGCAUCACUUUUUCAACCUCUUCAAGGACACGUUUUAGUAUAUUUACAUGAGAGGGCAGAGCGAUUGACUUCGCCUUUUUGUAUUCCCUUACAGCCAAGUCAUAUUCACCCUUACUAAUGCUGUCACGAAUAGCACUUGGCAAGUUAAAUAGCGUUCGGAAUCUCUGAAGCAUUCCUUGGACAGAUCUGAUCUUCUCAGCUUGAGCCUGUCUCUCAAAUAGAGGCUCAAAAGCACGAUUGGCCAGUGAGCUUACACCUUGCAUGCAAUUGAACAGGAGAGAAGUCCCACAACCUUCAGGGUCUUCUUCAAUUCGUUUCAAUUUUGAUUCAAUAUCAUCAAUUGUUGUUUUGCAAGAGACAAAGCAGUCAAAAUUGUCUUUAACCAAUUGUUUCCUCUGUAGCGUACGUCCUUUAAGAUCGGUUUUUAACGCAAGAGCACCAGCCUCCAUGUCUGCUGAACUAGUAUCUCGAUGGACUCGGGAUAGAAAAAGCUUUGCAUCAAACUUUUCAGAUAAAUAUAAUAACUUCUCGCGAAGAUUAUUAUCCAGAAAUUCUUUGUCAGAUUUUGGAGAGCUUUCUGAUGAUUCAGUGAUCAACCUUAAAGAUCUGUUAUCAAUGAUCCCCAACCCUAGUGGAUCUAUACAUUCCAUACCACGAGGUAAAGACUGUAGAUUGUUAAGGCCCUUUCUUCCAAAUGCUGAAGGUUUCCGCUCAUACUUUUGAGCCACUGGCGCUGUUCUUGUCUCUCGCAUUUCACGAACCCUACGAGCAAGCUUUUUAUGCUACCAGUUCCAAGCCUCAAAUGCAAUUUGUUUCCAAUUAGACUACAAUAACUAACCACCAUAUCCAUGGCAAGCUCUUCCCAAACCAUGCAUACAUCUCUUACUUAAAAACUUCCCAUGCCCCAUUCCUCUGCCUCAUUAACCUCUCCUAUCAAGCACCUCCCCCAUCCCAAACAAUCUUUCAGUUUAAAGCAGAGGAGAUAAUAACAUGGCCAAGCCAAGUAUCUGUAUAUCCACCUAUACAUAGAGAGUUUCUGAAAGAGCUAUGCCCACCUCAGCCUCAUCCACUCUUUUCCAGCAAUCAGGCUCUUCUCCAUUCCACGCUCUAUCAUCCUCCCCCCUCCCUUCUCCUCCGCUAGCUCUCCCUUUCGCCCCUCCUCGAUCCUUACUCACCUCCUCAUCUCCGCUCGAUAUACUAAGCAUUUCCACCUCCGAAUCAUCGUCCUCCUCGACCACUCUCCUAUUCUUCUUCUGUUGCUGUUGCUGCUGAUUAUGUACCAUUCUUGUCCCCGGCCUGGGUGGAGUAGUGGCUGUCGUCUUCGGUGGCUGCACGAAAUUAACAACCGGCUUCCGCUGACCGGAAGAAGAUGACGACAGUGGUCUCUGGUAGUUGAGAUCACGUUGCGCUUGCUCCUUCAAUGCCAUCUGGAGGAGCUCAUCCUCGUCGUCGCUGUCGCUUGACAUUUUCGUAAUUUUAUGGAAGUUUGGGAACGUUCUGAGUUAGAUCUGAGCAGCUAUGGCCGAUACUUUGGAAUUAAUGGGUGUUUGGGCGGGUUAAAAAAAUAAAUAAAAAAGAGAAAUACACAGGGACAAAGGAAACGAGAACGAAGAGAGGAACGUUCGAAUAUAGUUCGGCGAAUAGUUGGGUUUGGUGUGAG
rnacentral:misc_RNA from 1 species